UACAGAGGGGGCAAGCGUUGUUCGGAAUUACUGGGCGUAAAGGGCGCGUAGGCGGACAGUUUAGUCAGAGGUGAAAGCCCAGGGCUCAACCUUGGAAUUGCCUUUGAUACUGGCUGUCUUGAGUUCGGGAGAGGUGAGUGGAAUGCCGAGUGUAGAGGUGAAAUUCGUAGAUAUUCGGCGGAACACCAGUGGCGAAGGCGACUCACUGGCCCGAUACUGACGCUGAGGCGCGAAAGCGUGGGGAGCAAACAGG
rnacentral:rRNA from 1 species